rnacentral:sRNA from 1 species
GGAGGAGGCGGGAGCUGAGCUGAGUGGGGCGGGCGGCGGCGGGGCCCGAGCCGGAGAAGAUGGCGGUGCGGAAGAAGGACGGCGGCCCCAACGUGAAGUACUACGAGGCCGCGGACACCGUGACCCAGUUCGACAACGUGCGGCUGUGGCUCGGCAAGAACUAUAAGAAGUAUAUACAAGCUGAACCACCCACCAACAAGUCCCUGUCUAGCCUGGUUGUACAGUUGCUACAAUUUCAGGAAGAAGUUUUUGGCAAACAUGUCAGCAAUGCACCGCUCACUAAACUGCCGAUCAAAUGUUUCCUAGAUUUCAAAGCGGGAGGCUCCCUGUGCCACAUUCUUGCAGCUGCCUACAAAUUCAAGAGUGACCAGGGAUGGUGAGAUGAUUCUCUCUAUUCUUCUUACAUUUAGUUUAGAGGAAAUCCCCCUUUUUGAUUCCCUGGGAUCUUUCUGGGGUAGAAAUUCUUGUGAGUCUCUUUAUUUUGCUAGGUCAGUAGACCUGACUUACUAGGUCAGAAAAAUGGUUGGGAGUCAGAGCCAAAACAGUCUCCAAGAGUGAGUGUGUGAGUAUCAGUGUGUGUUUUGUAGAGGAAAAGGGAUUCUUAGGUUGGCAUCUCAAACCUUUUUUUGUCCCUUUGGAGUAAGCACAGAGAGUGAUUCAUGGAGUUGAGAUCAGUGAACCUCAGAUCCCAGGUGAUUUUUGGCAAUAGCUGUGAGCAAGCUUACCUCCUAAUUUCCCAUA